UACGGAGGGUGCAAGCGUUAUCCGGAAUUACUGGGUUUAAAGGGCGCGUAGGCGGCCUGCUAAGUCGGACGUGAAAUCCCUCGGCUCAACUUGGGAACUGCGUCUGAUACUGGUUGGCUUGAAUUCGGGAGAGGGAUGCAGAAUUCCAGGUGUAGCGGUGAAAUGCGUAAAUAUCUGGAGGAAUACCGGUGGCGAAGGCGGCAUCCUGGACCGAGAUUGACACUGAUGAGCGAAAGCCAGGGGAGCAAACGGG
rnacentral:rRNA from 1 species